rnacentral:rRNA from 1 species
AUAGCAUGUCAGAAGGCAGACCCGGAGAACUGAAACAUCUUAGUACCCGGAGGAAGAGAAAGAAAAAUCGAUUCCCUGAGUAGCGGCGAGCGAAACGGGAAGAGCCCAAACCAACAAGCUUGCUUGUUGGGGUUGUAGGACACUCUAUACGGAGUUACAAAAGAACAUGUUAGACGAAUCAUCUGGAAAGAUGAAUCAAAGAAGGUAAUAAUC